rnacentral:rRNA from 1 species
UACGUAGGGCGCGAGCGUUGUCCGGAAUUAUUGGGCGUAAAGAGCUCGUAGGCGGCUUGUCACGUCGGGUGUGAAAGCCCGGGGCUUAACCCCGGGUCUGCAUUCGAUACGGGCUAGCUAGAGUGUGGUAGGGGAGAUCGGAAUUCCUGGUGUAGCGGUGAAAUGCGCAGAUAUCAGGAGGAACACCGGUGGCGAAGGCGGAUCUCUGGGCCAUUACUGACGCUGAGGCGCGACAGCGUGGGGAGCAAACAGG